UACGAGGGGGGCUAGCGUUGCUCGGAAUCACUGGGCGUAAAGCGCACGUAGGCGGCUUGUUAAGUCAGGGGUGAAAUCCUGGAGCUCAACUCCAGAACUGCCUUUGAUACUGGCGAGCUUGAGUCCGGGAGAGGUGAGUGGAACUGCGAGUGUAGAGGUGAAAUUCGUAGAUAUUCGCAAGAACACCAGUGGCGAAGGCGGCUCACUGGCCCGGUACUGACGCUGAGGUGCGAAAGCGUGGGGAGCAAACAGGG
rnacentral:rRNA from 1 species